rnacentral:rRNA from 1 species
AACGAACGCUGGCGGCAGGCUUAACACAUGAAGUCGAGCGCCCCGCAAGGGGAGCGGCAGACGGGUGAGUAACGCGUGGGAAUCUACCCAUCUCUACGGAAUAACGCAUGGAAACGUGUGCUAAUACCGUAUACGUCCUUCGGGAGAAAGAUUUAUCGGAGAUGGAUGAGCCCGCGUUGGAUUAGCUAGUUGGUGGGGUAAAGGCCUACCAAGGCGACGAUCCAUAGCUGGUCUGAGAGGAUGAUCAGCCACACUGGGACUGAGACACGGCCCAGACGCCUACGGGAGGCAGCAGUGGGGAAUAUUGGACAAUGGGCGCAAGCCUGAUCCAGCCAUGCCGCGUGAGUGAUGAAGGCCCUAGGGUUGUAAAGCUCUUUCACCGGUGAAGAUAAUGACGGUAACCGGAGAAGAAGCCCCGGCUAACUUCGUGCCAGCCGCCGCCGUAAUAC